rnacentral:rRNA from 1 species
AACGAACGCUGGCGGCAUGCCUAACACAUGCAAGUCGAACGAGACCUUCGGGUCUAGUGGCGCACGGGUGCGUAACGCGUGGGAAUCUGCCCUUGGGUUCGGGAUAACAGUUGGAAACGACUGCUAAUACCGGAUGAUGACUUCGGUCCAAAGAUUUAUCGCCCAGGGAUGAGCCCGCGUCGGAUUAGCUAGUUGGUGAGGUAAGAGCUCACCAAGGCGACGAUCCGUAGCUGGUCUGAGAGGAUGAUCAGCCACACUGGGACUGAGACACGGCCCAGACUCCUACGGGAAGCAGCAGUGGGGAAUAUUGGACAAUGGGCGAAAGCCUGAUCCAGCAAUGCCGCGUGAGUGAUGAAGGCCUUAGGGUUGUAAAGCUCUUUUACCCGGGAUGAUAAUGACAGUACCGGGAGAAUAAGCCCCGGCUAACUCCGUG